AGUGAACGCUGGCGGUAGGCCUAACACAUGCAAGUCGAACGGCAGCACAGUAAGAGCUUGCUCUUACGGGUGGCGAGUGGCGGACGGGUGAGGAAUACAUCGGAAUCUACUUUUUCGUGGGGGAUAACGUAGGGAAACUUACGCUAAUACCGCAUACGACCUACGGGUGAAAGCAGGGGAUCUUCGGACCUUGCGCGAUUGAAUGAGCCGAUGUCGGAUUAGCUAGUUGGCGGGGUAAAGGCCCACCAAGGCGACGAUCCGUAGCUGGUCUGAGAGGAUGAUCAGCCACACGGGAACUGAGACACGGCCCAGCCCCCUACGGGAGGCAGCGGGGGGGAAUAUGGGACAAGGGGCGCAAGCCUGACCCAGCCAUACCGCGGGGGUGAAGAAGGCUUUCGGGUUGUAAACCCCUUUUGUGGGGAAAGAAAAGCAGCAGGUUAAUACCCCGCUGUUCUGACGGUACCAAAAAAAUAAGCACCGGCUAACUUCGUG
rnacentral:rRNA from 1 species